CUCCAUCCCAAGGCUGCCUCCUUCCCCCAUUAUGGGACCUAGAAUAGGAGGUACAGGGAACACCCUGCUCACUAAUCUGAUAGAACCUCAACAGUGGGCACUCAGGGGACUCAGUGAGUGCUCAGGGGCCAAAUUACCUCCAUCCGCUUAGACAUUAGUGUCAGUGGGAUGGAAAGACCCAGACAGGGCACCUAGUGAAUUAGGCUGAAUGUAGUUGCAGGAGCUAAAGUUUGAGGUAUUAGGAGGUCCCUGGGAAGCCUGGCAAGAGAUAGAGUCCAUUUGUUCCCUCAUUGGUCACCCAUUCAUGAAGUACCUUCUGGACCUGAGGGAGUGCAAUGAACAGGGCAGACUCCACUAUUCCCUGCCCUCAUGGAGUUGACAUUCCAGUGGUCAGAGGACAGGGAUACAGACAGAGGAAUGUGUCAGGCUUCCCUGAGGAAGAGGAGUGGUCAUCACACCAUUGACCAAGGCCUCUCACUACAAAGGCUUUUUUUGCCAGCCUCUCCUUGGUGAUGAGACCUGUCUCUGCCAAGGUGGACAGGCUAGAGGUGCACACAGAGUAGAACCAGCCUAUAGGCAGCCAGGAGCAGGAGGCAGAGGAGCCCAGGCCCCCAUAGGAGAGCCCUUGGAGGGCUGUGUAAGGAAAUGCCAGUCCUCUGACCCUGCUCCCCACUUGUCUAUCCCCAGGGCCAUCUCAUCCAUUCUGGGCACCUGCCUGGGCAGUACUCGGAGCAUGUUUUCCAGCCUCCAGAAUUCCCCUGCCUGAAGAUGCUGUUGGCCUAUGUAGGGCUCAAUUUGCCAGUUUUGGUCCUAGAGUGCUGUGCCCUCCUUCUUGCACAGCUGGAGCUCCUUGAGCCCAGUGAGGCAGAGACCGAGGCAGGAGCUCCAGAGCAAGAUCCAGAACCACCUGAAAAGGUAAUGGUAGCUUAACGUUUAAUGCCCACUACAGCUCAGAGCCACAGAUUCAGAUUCAGAGACAGGGCAGGUUCUAGCCACAGCUGUCAUUCAACUGUAAGAUCUAGGAUAACCAACAGCAUCAUCACCUCAACAAUCUUCGCCUCCUGAGCUGCAGGCAAUGCCAGCUGUAGCCCCAGAGAACUCUUUCCCUUUCCCUACAAUUGAGUUUUUUUAAAAUUUUUGUUUUUAUCUUAACACAUACUUUAUGGUUUCCUAUAUUUUAUCUUAUGAUAUUUACCUAAAUAAAAUUUAACUCUUUGCUCGUUUUCAAUUGUACAUUAAACCACAAUGAAGUACACUCACAAUGUUGCACAACCAUCCCCAUGAUCUAGUUCAAGAACAUUUUCAUCACAGUGAAAAGCUGUACCCAUGAAUCAGUCAGUCCUCCUUCCUCUCACCCGCAGUCGCUGGCAACCACUGAUCUUCUUUCUGUCUCUACAGAUUUACCUCUUCUGCGUUUUCUGUAUAAGUGGAAUCCUACAUUAUGUGACCUUUUGUGUCAAGCUAAGUAAUGUAUGAGGAGUUAAUCAUCUAAUCAUAG
rnacentral:lncRNA from 1 species